rnacentral:siRNA from 1 species
UAACGUCCUGCCAAACCCGUU